GCCCGCCGCCCAGGACCCAGGGCCCUUCUGAAAAGUGGAGCCUCCCUACACCCUACGCACACGGCGGCUGUUCCCCACGACACAGCGGGGGGCAAAUGACCACCAGGAGCCAGGGAGUCCCAGGGAAAGGACGCAGAUGGCUCGUGUCCUGGAAUUUCAUGGGAGCCAUUUGAAAUCAUCAGCAAAUGACGCCCGAGUCUAUAAGGGACCUCAGCGCAGGGGCUGGAUGAGACAGGGUGGGCAGCCACAAAACAGGGUGGUGAAGGCCCGAGGCCAGGAGGGCUGGGUUAGCACUCGGCCACCAGAGGGAAGCAAGCAAGCUCCCUCCCUCUCUCUCUUUCUCUCUGUCUAUGUGUCUUUCUCUCUCCCUCUCUGUCUCUCUCCAUCUCUCUCUCCACCCACACCUCCUGAGGAUUGUUGGGUUUUCCCAUGGACUAGGGUUAGACAGCCAGCGAGUCUGAACGGAAGGCGCCAGGUGUGGCAGUGGGGAAGUGAGGUGGGGCCUGGAACACAAGGGCAAGGGCCUCUGGGAGGACCGCGCAGGCUCGGCACACUGAGCGGACUGACUGCAGACCCUCCUCCCACACCAGGGGGACCACCUCUCUGUGCAAAGAUGUCCUCACUUGAUAUUCUCAAUUCUUUGAGGUCAAGGUUUUAUUAACACUCCCUGAAAAGUGGGAGAGCUUAGUGAUAAGACUGUAUCAUUUUUGCAAGACACAAAGCAAGCACAGCUGGAUGGCAUGUGCCAGCUCCCUCACCAUGCUGAGCACUUUUACUCACAUCUCACCCCUGCAGACAGAUGCCAGUGUCCUCACUCACCCACUGGGGCAGACAUUAUUAGUUGCCAAUGCAAGACCCAUUUCCUCACGUCCUAACUAAUAGAACCCCAACUGUGUCCAGGCAGGUGACGUGCCCAGCUAAAAAUACUCACCUUUUCAGACUCCCUUGAAGUUAGUAGCGGCCACGUGAUACUUCCAACAAAUAAGACAUACACAGAGAUCUGCUGGGGCUUCUGUGAAAACUUUUACUUCCCUGAAACGGGUACCACCUUCCUUCUCCCAUUCUUUCUUCCUCCUUGAAGCACAGAAGCAAUGCCUGGAGCUGCAGCGGCCAUUUUGUGAUUGUGAAGCAAUGACCUGAGGAAUGAAGGCCAACAUCAAGGAUGGCAAAACAGAGAGAGGA
rnacentral:lncRNA from 1 species